rnacentral:tRNA from 1 species
GCCACGGUGGUCUAGCGGUUAUAACGACGCUGGCCUUGUAGUCCUGGGGUCUCGGGUUCGAUUCCCGGCGGUGCCC